rnacentral:lncRNA from 10 species
CAUGCCCAGCCAGCUCCCUCUAGUUUUUUGAUGCUGAGGCCCACCCUGAUGCCCCGUCUGUUUGCCCAUCUUUUGUCAUUGGAGGGUUAAAUGAAAUGUGAGUGUCACCCGAACAUCUGGGUUCCUAUCUGUGCACCUCCUCCUGUCUUCAGGCUGCCUUUGAGGCAGCAGCCUCACUGGGGACUUUGACCGGCCCCACCCAUUCUUCACUGAACCUCCUGCUCCAGCCUCUGCCUCCUCCAUUUUGAUGUCUAGAAUCAGGGGAUCCAGGAUCAUCAACAAGGUCGUUUUCCCAGACAGGUGUGCUGAGGCUGUAGAAAGUGCUUCUCAUUUGGUUGGGAGCUUGUGCAUAAAUGCGAGAGGGGCUGCACAUCUGACGGACUACAGAGGUGACUCAUGGCUGAACCGGAACAGGAUAUCGGGGAGAAGCCAGCAGAGCUUGUGCUUAAAGUCAGAAUUCAGAACCCCAAAGAAAAUGACUUCAUUGAAAUUGAACUGAAGAGGCAAGAACUGAGUUACCAAAACCUACUAAAAGUGAGUUGCUGUGAACUGGGGAUUAACCCAGAACAAGUGGAGAAGAUCAGAAAGCUACCAAACACACUGCUCAGAAAGGAUAACGACAUUCGAAGACUGCAGGACUCUCAGGAAGUGGAACUCAUUUUAAUGAAAAAUGGAAGCUCCGGAUUGACAGAAUAUAUACCAUCUCUGACAGAAAGGCCCUGCUAUAAUAGCAAAGCUGCAAAAAUGACUUAUUAAAGAAUCCCAGGAAUGGCCGGGCGUGGUGGCUCAUGCCUGUAAUCUCAGCACUUUAGGAAGCCAAGGUGGGCAGAUCACCUGAGGUCAGGAGUUCUAGACCAGCCUGGCCAACAAUAUAGUGAAACCCCGUCUCUACUAAAAAAAAUACAAAAAUUAGCUAGGUGAGGUGGCACACACCUGUAGUCCCAGCUACAUGGGAAGCUGAGGCAGGAGAAUCGCCUGAACCCGGGAGGCAGAGGUUGCAGUGAGCUGAGACUGCACCACUGCACUCCAGCCUGGCAACAGAGCAAGACUCUUUUGAAAUAAAUAAAUGAAUGAAUAAUCGAUCCUAGGAAUAAAAAACUGAAAUCAUUAUUUCAUAAAUAAUGAAGUCUGGAUGUAUAUACCAAUUUGCCUAACUUCAUGUUUGAACUGUGAGAAAUUAUUAUGUUUCCUCAUCUCCAAUUUCUCUGGGCUAGGAGAAGAGUUAAGUUCAGGGUUUUGACAAACAGCUAUAAAAAACAUCGCAAGGUAUAUUUACAAUAAGGGUAGUUUAUUUUGUAGAGUUGUGCCCCAAUCCUGAUGAGUAUAGGUGUGCUUUAUGAGAUUCAGUCAGGACAAAUGGCCAGGGUCUCUUCACGUGAACCCACAUGGGCAGGGUGAGCUGACGGUGCUGGGAAAGCCAGGACCCACUUGGCAACACAAGUUCUAUUAGUGUUUCUUUUUUUUUUUUUAAGACAGAGUUUCACUCUGUUGCCCAGCCUGGAGUGUAAUGGCAUGAUCUUGGCUCACUGCAACCUCUGCCUCCUGGGUUUAAGCGAUUCUCGUGCCUCAGCCUCCCAAGUAGCUGGAAUUACAGGCAUGAACCACCAUGCCCGGCUAAUUUUUGUAUUUUUAGUAGAGA